rnacentral:rRNA from 1 species
CCUGCCCAAGAGAUCGGGAUAACACCUGGAAACAGAUGCUAAUACCGGAUAACAACAGAUGAUGCCUAUCAACUGUUUAAAAGAUGGUUCUGCUAUCACUCUUGGAUGGACCUGCGGUGCAUUAGCUAGUUGGUAGGGUAACGGCCUACCAAGGCGAUGAUGCAUAGCCGAGUUGAGAGACUGAUCGGCCACAUUGGGACUGAGACACGGCCCAAACUCCUACGGGAGGCAGCAGUC